UAGAAAUUUCCGAUAAUCAGACUUUGAUAAACAUUAGUAAUUUGCCCGAUUGCCGAUUCGACCGUUUCGUCUUUCGUGUUGCUUUGUUCACUGUUGUAAAUCCAAAACCGUAUAUUGGGUCGAAUGUAAUAUUAAAAUGUAAAUGUUGCCUACACGUGUCACGUUGUACUUUUCGUUGUCGCUGUAUCUGUAUUUUGUAAAAUUGUUUAUAACUUUGUAUAACUGUGUAUAACUGUAACCUGUAGUACUUCAGUAAUUUCAUUAGUGUUUUAUUUAUUUAUUAAAAUGUUGAAUAUUUUUGAAUUAUUUAAUUUUAAAAGAAAACCUAAAGAAGCUGUAAAAUCUGAAAACGUGUUACCGAAGGAAGUUCCUGGAAAAACUACAGUACACUCCGACUGGUCAUCGAAUAUUGAUUUUGAUUCUCGGCUUAAAAUUAGUGAUAUAAUUGAUUUGGAUAACAUUAACUAUGGUCCAUCACGUCCAAUUAUGAAGUCUUAUCAAAUGACAAAAUUUGGUCAACAAAACCGUAGUUUUAAUGCAUCAUAUUAUUAAGAAUAUUGUUAAGAAAAAGGAAAGAUUCAAAUGAUAUUAAAAAUUUCAUUGUCACUAGUACUAGCGCACAUUACACAGAACCUACACAAAAUAACGUACAGACAACCGAAGAUUUCUACAGAAUAAAUGCCUACUUUGUGAUAUUCUUGAUACUCUAGUUACAAAGUUAGAAAAAAGAUUUUCGAAUGAUAGUUUACAAAGGGGCAUAUCUGUUGAUAAUUUUUUUCAACUAAAAUUUGAAGAAAGUCAAUGUUUUAUUGAUCAUUAUCAAGGAUUAUUAGGUUUAUUGAAAAUCAAUAUUCCGUAAGAGAUGACCGUAGCAAAAAACAGCAUCUUGCAAUCAAGAAAUGAAAUAAAUUAUAAAACAAUAAAACAAAAUAUUUCUAAAAGUGUGUUUCCCAACUUAUACAAACUACUACAGGUAGCCAUAACAAUACCAAUCAGCUUAGCUACAUGUGAAUAAAGUUUUUCUGCAAUGUGCAAAGUUAAGACACGGUUACGUACGUCUAUGCUGAGAGAAAAAUUUAAUAACUCUUCAAUAUUAUACAUUGAAAAAGAUAUUAAUAUCAGUAUGGAGAAUGUUAUUGAUAUAUUUGCUAAUAAAAAUAGGUUUAUUGUAUUUAAAUAAUAAAAUAUUUAUUGUAUUAUAAAUUAAUGAUGUUUAAAGUGCAUAAUGUAUAAUUAGUAAUGCAUAUUUAGUAGUUUUGUAAUUUAGUAAUUUAAUGUGUACUGAAGAGUGAAGGUAAGAGUGAGGAUGUGAGGGCAAAGCCCCCACAGCUUAUUUUGUAAAGAAACAUUUAAGCCCCCCCCCCCUAAAAUUUAAUCCGCCUCUACCUAUAAGUAUGAAAGAACUGGCGCUCAAUCCAAAGUCGAUUGAGUACAUGAUAAAAUAUGGUAUUUCAAUUAAUUAUCUGAUUAUCGUAACUUUAUACUGUUUCGUAAAGAUAUAAAUUAUAAUUUUUUUAAAUACAUUUUUCGCGUUUCAUACUUGUUAUCUUGGUUUUUUUUC